UACAGAGGUCUCAAGCGUUGUUCGGAUUCAUUGGGCGUAAAGAGCGUGUAGGCGGCCAGACAGGUCCGUUGUGAAAACUCGAGGCUCAACCUCGAGAUGUCGAUGGAAACCGUCUGGCUAGAGUCCGGAAGAGGAGUGUGGAAUUCCUGGUGUAGCGGUGAAAUGCGCAGAUAUCAGGAAGAACACCUAUGGCGAAGGCAGCACUCUGGGACGGUACUGACGCUGAGACGCGAAAGCGUGGGGAGCGAACAGG
rnacentral:rRNA from 1 species